GGCAGGGCGGACCUCCAUAGGUUACUGGACAAGCCCAAGAGCCCCGGAUGCAGCUGUACCGCCCUCAGGCGGCGGCGACUGGACCUCGCCUGGCGGCCGGCGCGGCGCUCCCUACGAAGGCGCCUGCGCAAAGCCAAGAAGUGGCGGCAGCUGAGGGGCAAGCGCCCCGUGGUGAGGAGGCAGCUGAGGGACGUGUUCCCGCUGCUUAGUUUGGUCGACAACCUGGUGGGCGUCUGUAAGGGACCUUCAGCCUUAUGGGAAUCAUGUCUGAGAUUAUCGGCCACAACCAGGGUGAGUUCUCCAUCAACCCUGGAAGCAAGACGCAUCCGUGCACCCACUCCCGCUUCAUCCUCCUCAAGUAGCAUGAAAGACAUGUUUCUAACAAAUCACUGUGAAAGUAUGAGGUUUUCUGAGGGUUUUGCAUAAAGCCAGACUCUCUUCAGAAUUAUUCACUCAACAGAUGUUUGCAACUCAGAGGAAACCAUUCCUUUGUUUUGGUUCAUUAUAAAGAUGAACAGGUUAAGCGCUUGAUUCCAAUGUAAGAAUUAUAUUGAAGUUAAGUUUUACUUUCUCCUGGCAUUCAGAGUUGCAGCAUAUAAGCAUACUUGGUCUGAGUGCUCAGAAAUCUUAAAAAUCUUGAUAUAAUUCUGUAACACAGCAUAUUAACAAUGUAGAAAACUACAUAAUACUAUUUAUGGCAGGAUUUUAAAAUACUUAUAUGUACAUUAUUUGUUAGACAUCAACAUUAUGUUUUCUAUCUAAAUAAUUUGGAAAUGUUAAACAUAGUCAACACAAGAACAAUAUCCAAUGAACUUAUUUACCUUGUGUUCACAGCUAGAUAUUUGGAAUAACUCUAGACAUAUCUACUUCAAGUGAACAAAAGCAAACAAGUAUAAAUCUGUAAUCUAGAGGUGCAUGGGUGACUCAGUCGGUUAAGCAUCCAACUCUUGAUCUCUGCUCUGGUCAUGAUCUCAGUUUGUGAGAGUUUUGCUCUCUCCAAAUAAUUUAGAAAUAUAUUACUAUAUAAUUUAAAAAUCAAUACAGAUAUCUGCUGUUGAAAUGUGAUUAUGGUUACUAUUUAAAUUACUAUUAAAAUUAUGAUUUUAAUUAAGACUAAUUAUAGUAGAAACACACAGGUACAUAUUAUAUUUCAUACUUUUGCUUGUUACUAGGAAGUUCAGAGUUAGACUUAAUGUUUAAUCAUGAGUCUUAGUGAUCUAUUUGCUUAGUCUGUGCCAUUGAUUCUAAAUAGCCAAGGAAAGACAACCUUCCCCUAGGAAGGUGUGUUAGAGUCUCUGUGUUCAUAAAUUUUUUCAUCAUAUUAUUGCAUGGGUUUAUAAAAAUGUUGAAAAAAAAUAUGUUUUAUUUUAUUAUCUGCAAAUUUAAUUUUUUAUUAAAUUAUUAUAUAUAGCUUUUAUUAAGUUAUCUAAAUUCUUUUCAGAAGAACAAUUUUU
rnacentral:lncRNA from 1 species